rnacentral:rRNA from 1 species
UACGGAGGGUGCAAGCGUUAUCCGGAAUCACUGGGUUUAAAGGGUGCGUAGGCGGCUAUGUAAGUCAGUUGUGAAAUACCUCGGCUUAACCGAAGGAAGUGCGAUUGAUACUGCGUAGCUUGAAUCAGGUUGAGGUAGGCGGAAUGUGGCAUGUAGCGGUGAAAUGCUUAGAUAUGCCAUAGAACACCGAUUGCGAAGGCAGCUUACUGGGCUUUGAUUGACGCUGAGGCACGAAAGCGUGGGGAGCAAACAGG